GAUGAACGCUGGCGGCGUGCCUAAUACAUGCAAGUCGAGCGAAUGGAUUGAGAGCUUGCUCUUAUGAAGUUAGCGGCGGACGGGUGAGUAACACGUGGGUAACCUGCCCAUAAGACUGUGAUAACUCCGGGAAACCGGGGCUAAUACCGGAUAACAUUUUGAACCGCAUGGUUAGAAAUUGAAAGGCGGCUUCUGCUUUCACUUAUGGAUGGACCCGGGUCGCAUUAUCUAGUUGGUGAGGUAACGGCUCACCAAGGCAACGAUGCGUAGCCGACCUGAGAGGGUGAUCGGCCACACUGGGACUGAGACACGGCCCAGACUCCUACGGGAGGCAGCAGUAGGGAAUCUUCCGCAAUGGACGAAAGUCUGACGGAGCAACGCCGCGUGAGUGAUGAAGGCUUUCGGGUCGUAAAACUCUGUUGUUAGGGAAGAACAAGUGCUAGUUGAAUAAGCUGGCACCUUGACGGUACCUAACCAGAAAGCCACGGCUAACUACGUGCCAGCAGCCGCAGUAA
rnacentral:rRNA from 1 species